AUUGCUGUCACACAAAGUGCCACAUCAAACUCUAAUGCAAUUAUGAAGGUUAUGUAACAGUUUUCCUCUACUCGAAGUAAUGUGACUUCGGGUGAUACGAAUCAUUUUAACCAAAUGAGCUGAUUCAUUUCAUGUUCACGAGCUAUAAUAGAAGCCCUCGGGAAGGAAUCUGUCGCUGGGAAAACUUGGAAAUUCGUAGAAUGUCAAAAUGUUGCUUGAAGUGCUUGACGAAAUUUUUACAUUGAAGAAUUGGAUAUUAUUCGUGUCGACAUACUUUUGCGUUAUAUCUCUGGUGUUCUGUGGUGCUUGUAUCAAAGAUAUAACGCAGUCUGCCAUUCGAGUGUCAAAAAAUUUAAGUGAGUCAUCGACAGAAAACAUUUUCGUAGAAGAGGCCGAUCAGAAAAAAAAUCUAAAAAUGAAAACGUACAAUUUUCAAUAGAGUUUUGAAUACUGGUAAUGAUGUACAUAUAAAUUUAUAUUGUUAUUCUUAAAAAUAAACAUAUGAAUCAUUAA